rnacentral:tRNA from 1 species
GGCGACAUGGCCGAGUGGUAAGGCGAGGACUGCAAAUCCUUUUUUCCCCAGUUCAAAUCCGGGUGUCGCCU